AACCGCGCCUACAUCGCCGUCACGUCACGAGCUGGGAGUCUGGGAGUUGGUUGGGAGCGCUGGGAGCAUACCUGCGGAACGAACGCCAAAAACCUCUACCACAGUAUCUCCAGUAUAUCGGUGAAGUUGGUCAUGUCCGUCAUGUAGUCAUCGUCAUCUCGAUCUCACCUCACCUUGCUCACCUUCGCGACCUUCGCGCGUCAUGCGGACGGAGCGUAGAGAACACUCGGCACAUCGACGACGACGACGACCACGACGACGACGAUGGUCAAGCGGAUCACGGAACUACGAAAUGAUCAUGAAUCAUACACAAGGGGGAAAUAAAAACAACGAUCAAACUUGAAGAACAGAAAUUUGCAUUCAAUUUCGAUUUUGCGUCCUGAAUAAAAAUUUUAAUCUAUAUGUCGUGGUGGCGGUACCAUACACGCUACGUUACAAAUCGCUAAGAACUACAAUUUUUCUCGCGUACACCCCCAUAAAAACAAAGAAAAUACUUCUUUCCGUUUUUUGUUAUUCUUCUUGGUAAAUAAAAUAAUAUCGGUUCAUUGGU